rnacentral:lncRNA from 1 species
GUCUACCAGGUCCCAUUAUACGGCUAAGGGCCGGCCUUGCUCCAUGCAUUUGUACUUUCUUACUAUACAUUACGCUCAGCAGAAUCUUGUGGUAAAAGCAAAUGAAUCACAAUAGCAUGGGCCACGUACAAAUAAAGGGAACUCGAGAGGAAAAUUGUCUUCUGACUUGUUUUCAGCAUGAUAUCUGAGUUCCUGCCUUUGGUAUGGGAAUAUGUGAUACAGUGGUGUUGGGAAAUAAACAGAUCUAGCUGGAAAUAACAGAUCUGCUUCUUUGGUCUCACAGCACAGCAACACUUGAAUAAACAUGAAAUGUCCCUGGGAAGAGCCCUCCAGAAGCUACUGCCAAGUGACAGACGGAUGAGUUGAAAGGUUGCAACAAGGGAGAAGAACAGAAGGGCAUGUUCAUUAAUGCAAAAUACAAGGAGAGAGCAGGGAGAGCAAGUCCUUGAGGAGGCAGAAGCAAGACUUGACACUUUCUUAGCAACUGAGUGCUACCACCAGGAAAAAUGGCAGUACAAUAGCCAAAGAGGGUACUAAGACCUCAUCAAAAAAUAUCAGUAACGUUCCCUGUUGCAUCUUAUAGCAUAUACCCACUCUGUCUGCAGUGUGCAAGAUAAGAUAAACCAGCACGGGACCUUGAUGGACUAGAGUUGACUUUAGCCCUGUUCAGUGAAUCUACAGCAGAUUAUAAAAAUCUGUGAAUUUGUGAUAAAGCUAUGACUUUUUGCUUCUGGAGGUUAAACAUUUGAUGUCUC